rnacentral:rRNA from 1 species
GACGAACGCUGGCGGCGUGCUUAACACAUGCAAGUCGAACGGAAAGGCCCUGAUUUUGUGGGGUGCUCGGGUGGCGAACGGGUGAGUGACACGUGAAUAACCUGCUCUUGUCUUUGGGAUAACUUCAGGUAGCUGGGGCUACUACCGGAUAGGAGCUCCUGUAGCGGGGUGAGGGUUGGAACUUUGCGGCUGGUGGGGAUGGACGCGCGGCUGAUCAGCUUGUUGGUGGGCGAGUGGCUUGCCAAGGCUUUGAACGAUAGCCGGCAGGGGAGGGUGACCGGGGACCUUGGGACUGAGAUACGCAGCAGACUCCAAUGGGAGGCAGUAGGGGGGAAUAUUGCCCAGUGAGAGGAAGCCUGAUGCAGCAGCGUUGCGUGCGGGAUGCCGUCCUUCGGGUUGUAAACAGCUUUAGGCUGUGACGCAGCGUGAGUGACGGUACUGGGUAAAGAAGCACCGGCUAACUACGUG